CCUACGGGGGGCUGCAGUGAGGAAUAUUGGUCAAUGGACGAGAGUCUGAACCAGCCAAGUAGCGUGAAGGAUGACUGCCCUAUGGGUUGUAAACUUCUUUUAUAUGGGAAUAAAAUGUUCCACGUGUGGGAUUUUGUAUGUACCAUAUGACUCAGGAUCGGCUAACUCCGUGCCAGCAGCCGCGGUAAUACGGAGGAUCCGAGCGUUAUCCGGACUUAUUGGGGUUAAGGGGAGCGUAGGUGGAUUGUUAAGUCAGGUGUGAAAGUUUGCGGCUCAACCGUAAAAUUGCAGUUGAAACUGGCAGGCGUGAGUACAGUAGAGGUGGGCGGAAUUCGUGGUGUAGCGGUGAAAUGCUUAGAUAUAACGAAGAACUCCGAUUGCGAAGGCAGUUCACUGGACUGCAACUGACACUGAGGCUCGAAAGUGUGGGUAUCAAACAGGAUUAGAUACCCCUGUAGUC
rnacentral:rRNA from 1 species